rnacentral:rRNA from 1 species
CAGCCGCCGCGGGAAUACGGAGGGUGCAAGCGUUAAUCGGAAUUACUGGGCGUAAAGCGCACGCAGGCGGUCUGACAAGUCAGAUGUGAAAUCCCCGGGCUUAACCUGGGAACUGCAUUUGAAACUGUCAGGCUGGAGUCUUGUAGAGGGGGGUGGAAUUCCAGGUGUAGCGGUGAAAUGCGUAGAGAUCUGGAGGAAUACCGGUGGCGAAGGCGGCCCCCUGGACAAAGACUGACGCUCAGGUGCGAAAGCGUGGGGAGCAAACAGGAUUAGAUACCCCUGUAGUCCCUGUCUCUUAUAU